rnacentral:rRNA from 1 species
CCUACGGGAGGCAGCAGUGAGGAAUAUUGGUCAAUGGACGAGAGUCUGAACCAGCCAAGUAGCGUGAAGGAUGACUGCCCUAUGGAUUGUAAACUUCUUUUAUAUGGGAAUAAUAUGUUCCACGUGUGGGAUUUUGUAUGUACCAUAUGAAUAAGGAUCGGCUAACUCCGUGCCAGCAGCCGCGGUAAUACGGAGGAUCCGAGCGUUAUCCGGAUUUAUUGGGUUUAAAGGGAGCGUAGGUGGAUUGUUAAGUCAGUUGUGAAAGUUUGCGGCUCAACCGUAAAAUUGCAGUUGAAACUGGCAGUCUUGAGUACAGUAGAGGUGGGCGGAAUUCGUGGUGUAGCGGUGAAAUGCUUAGAUAUGACGAAGAACUCCGAUUGCGAAGGCAGUUCACUGGACUGCAACUGACACUGAGGCUCGAAAGUGUGGGUAUCAAACAGGAUUAGAUACCCCAGUAGUC